GAUGAACGCUGGCGGCGUGCCUAAUACAUGCAAGUCGAGCGAACAGACGAGGAGCUUGCUCCUCUGACGUUAGCGGCGGACGGGUGAGUAACACGUGGAUAACCUACCUAUAAGACUGGGAUAACUUCGGGAAACCGGAGCUAAUACCGGAUAAUAUAUUGAACCGCAUGGUUCAAUAGUGAAAGACGGUUUUGCUGUCACUUAUAGAUGGAUCCGCGCCGCAUUAGCUAGUUGGUAAGGUAACGGCUUACCAAGGCAACGAUGCGUAGCCGACCUGAGAGGGUGAUCAGCCACACUGGAACUGAGACACGGUCCAGACUCCUACGGGAGGCAGCAGUGGGGAAUCUUCCGCAAAGGGCGAAAGCCUGACGGAGCAACGCCGCGUGAGUGAUGAAGGUCUUCGGAUCGUAAAACUCUGUUAUUAGGGAAGAACAAAUGUGUAAGUAACUAUGCACGUCUUGACGGUACCUAAUCAGAAAGCCACGGCUAACUACGUG
rnacentral:rRNA from 1 species